CUGUAUCUGCCAAGCCCACAGUAGGUGCUCUCCUAAUUCUAUGUGGUAGACUUCAAAAGACAAAGGAAGUGUUAUUCUCACUGGCUCUGGCCUGGACCAAGAGAAUGCAGGAAUGGCUUCCAUUCUGUGAGCUGUGACUUCUAACGUGGCCACAUAGCUGGUGGAGAGGUGACAACCUUCAUCUCCAAGGAUCCCCUGCACUGCUUGCUUUAUGCCCAGAGCAACCUCAUGCUGACAAGGACUGCACAGUUUUGAACACCCAUGCUCCAAUCAAAAGAAACCAAUUUGUGAGAGACGAUAUAAAUCCAUGAAUACUGCACUGAAACCU
rnacentral:lncRNA from 10 species